AUUUACAUAAUUUAUCUAGAAUAUUGCACUGAAGAUGCAAAAGAGGUUGAAUAACCUGUAAAUA
rnacentral:tRNA from 1 species